rnacentral:rRNA from 1 species
AGCGAACGCUGGCGGCAGGCCUAACACAUGCAAGUCGAACGAAGUCUUCGGACUUAGUGGCGGACGGGUGAGUAGCACGUGGGAACGUACCUUUUGGUUCGGAACAACUCAGGGAAACUUGAGCUAAUACCGAAUGUGCCCUUAGGGGGAAAGAUUUAUCGCCAUUAGAGCGGCCCGCGUUAGAUUAGCUAGUUGGUGGGGUAAAGGCCCACCAAGGCUACGAUCUAUAGCUGGUCUGGGAGGAUGAUCAGCCACACUGGGACUGAGACACGGCCCAGACUCCUACGGGAGGCAGCAGUGGGGAAUCUUGCGCAAUGGGCGAAAGCCUGACGCAGCCAUGCCGCGUGAAUGAUGAAGGUCUUAGGAUUGUAAAAUUCUUUCAGUAGGGACGAUAAUGACGGUACCUACAGAAGAAGCCCCGGCUAACUUCGUGCCAGCAGCCGCAGUAA